UACGAAGGGGGCUAGCGCUGUUCGGAAUUACUGGGCGUAAAGCGCACGUAGGCGGAUCGAUCAGUCAGGGGUGAAAUCCCAGGGCUCAACCCUGGAACUGCCUUUGAUACUGUCGAUCUGGAGUAUGGAAGAGGUGAGUGGAGUUCCGAGUGUAGAGGUGAAAUUCGUAGAUAUUCGGAGGAACACCAGUGGCGAAGGCGGCUCACUGGUCCAUUACUGACGCUGAGGUGCGAAAGCGUGGUGAGCAAACAGG
rnacentral:rRNA from 1 species